rnacentral:rRNA from 1 species
AUUGAACGCUGGCGGCAUGCCUUACACAUGCAAGUCGAACGGUAACGCGGGGCAACCUGGCGACGAGUGGCGAACGGGUGAGUAACGCAUCGGAACGUGCCCAGUAGUGGGGGAUAGCCCGGCGAAAGCCGGAUUAAUACCGCAUACGACCUACGGGUGAAAGAGGGGGAUCGCAAGACCUCUCGCUAUUGGAGCGGCCGAUGUCAGAUUAGGUAGUUGGUGGGGUAAAGGCCUACCAAGCCUACGAUCUGUAGCUGGUCUGAGAGGACGACCAGCCACACUGGGACUGAGACACGGCCCAGACUCCUACGGGAGGCAGCAGUGGGGAAUCUUGGACAAUGGGCGCAAGCCUGAUUCAGCCAUGCCGCGUGCGGGAAGAAGGCCUUCGGGUUGUAAACCGCUUUUGUCAGGGAAGAAACGCUCUGGACUAGUACUCUGGGGUAAUGACGGUACCUGAAGAAUAAGCACCGGCUAACUACGUGCCAGCCGCCGCAGUAA